GGUGUACAGGGAGCAUGGUGCCAGCAUCUGCUUCUGAUGAGGCCUCAGGAAGCUUCCAAUCAUGGCAAAACGUGAAGUGGGAGCAGACACAUCACAUGAUGCUGACAUCUUUCGAGAUGAUUGAUUCAUCCCUGACAAGAGAAGACUCUCAGGGGGUUCCAGCUGCCCACCGCUCAGACAAUACCGAUUUGCAGGUGCUGACGCCAAUCCCGCCAGUUUGAUUUGGACGUAGCAGAUUACAUAUGGAGAACUCUAGGAGCCGCCUUUUCAAAGUUGCAGCAAACUCUGACUGGGUGGUUUCGUUCCUGCUGAGCCACACUGAGUCGGCACCCCUCUUCCCUUUUUUCUCUCUCCCACCCUCCAUCUCCUGUCUCUCCCUUGUGGCCUUCCCUCCCUACUCCUCUUCCCUCCUAGAGCAUCUAUUUGCCAAGACCUCCUUCUGACUUUCUACUGAGCUUCUUGUAGUUAAAGAGUGCCCGCCGCUGUCUUAUGGGUCCUGCCUGCAUCCUUAGUUCCUGUACAGUGGGGGCCUUGAGGGCAGGGAUGGUACCAGUAUUAGUCUCCCAGGCUGCUGUCAGAACCACAGCCUGACAGAUUCAACCGCAGACAUUGAUUUUCUCACAGUUCUAGAGACCAGGGUAGAAAUUGAGGUGUGAGCAGGGUUGGUUCCUGCUGAGGGCUAAGAGGUGGGAUCACAGGGAAGAACAAGUCUCUGCUGUGGUCUGAACUGCUCUCCACCCCAAGUAAAUCCAUAUGUUUGAAUCCCAAGGCCCAAUAUCUCAGAAUUUGACUGUGUUUUAAAAGAAGGUCUUUACAGAGGCAAUUCAGUUAAAAUUGAGGUCCAAGAUGGGCCCUAAUUCAAUAUGCCCAAUGUCCUUUUAAGAAAAGACAAUUUGGACAGAGACACACAUAGCGGGAGAUGAUGGUAUGAAGAGACAGGGAGAAAGCCAUCUCCGUGGCCAGGAGAGAGCCUGGAAGGGCUCUUCCCUCACAGCCUCACAAGGAUCCAGCCCUACUCAUACCUUGAUUUCCACUUCUGGGCUCCAGAAUUGUGAAAAAAUAAAUUUCUGGGGUUGAAGCUCCUGUCUGUGAUUCUCUCUGACUGCAGUCUAGGAGGCUAAUACA
rnacentral:lncRNA from 1 species